rnacentral:rRNA from 1 species
UACAGAGGGGGCAAGCGUUGUUCGGAAUUACUGGGCGUAAAGGGCGCGUAGGCGGCCUUCUAAGUCGAACGUGAAAUCCCCGGGCUCAACCCGGGAACUGCGUCCGAUACUGGAAGGCUUGAAUCCGGGAGAGGGAUGCGGAGUUCCAGGUGUAGCGGUGAAAUGCGUAGAUAUCUGGAGGAACACCGGUGGCGAAGGCGGCAUCCUGGACCGGCAUUGACGCUGAGGCGCGAAGCCAGGGAGCAAACGGG